rnacentral:rRNA from 1 species
AAGCGUUUAUGACCAGACUUGGGCUUGGUUAAUCAUCUGGGGUUCUCCCCAGUGCACUUUUCCAGUCCAGGCCAGCAUCAGUUUUCCCCGGGGGAUAAAGGCGGCGGGAAUGUGGCUCUCUUCGGGG